GCUCAAGCCUGUAAUCCCAGCACUUUGGGAGGCCAAGGCAGGUGGAUCACGAGGUCAGAAGAUCGAGACCAGCCUGGCUAACGCAGUGAAACCCCGUCUCUACUAAAAAUAAAAAAAUUAGCCAGGCAUGGUGGUGUGCACCUGUAAUCCCAACUACUCAGGAAGCUGAGGCAGGAGAACCACUUGAACCUGGGAGGCGGAGGUUGCAGUGAGCUGAGAUCGUGCCACUGCACUCCAGACUGGGUGACAGAGCAAGACUCCAUCUCAAAAAAAUAAAAAAAUUAAAAAAAAC
rnacentral:lncRNA from 1 species